UACGGAGGGUGCAAGCGUUGUCCGGAAUCACUGGGCGUAAAGGGCGCGUAGGCGGCCUGGUAAGUAGGGGGUGAAAUCCUGCGGCUUAACCGCAGGGCUGCCUUCUAAACUGUCAGGCUUGAGCACGGUAGAGGCAGAUGGAAUUCCCGGUGUAGCGGUGGAAUGCGUAGAGAUCGGGAAGAACAUCAGUGGCGAAGGCGGCUAUCUGGACGGUUUCUGACGCUAAGACGCGAAAGCGUGGGGAGCAAACAGG
rnacentral:rRNA from 1 species